CGAGGACUACGAAUAGCUUGCUAAUUGUAGUUCUAGUGCCGGACGGGUGCGUAACACGUGAGCAACCUGCCCUGAAGUGGGGGAUAGCCCUCCGAAAGGAGGAUUAAUACCGCAUGUGGUCUCCGGAUCAAAGACGGCUUCGGCUGUCGCUUCAGGAUGGGCUCGCGGCCUAUCAGCUUGUUGGUGAGGUAACGGCUCACCAAGGCCAUGACGGGUAGCUGGUCUGAGAGGACGAUCAGCCUCACUGGAACUGAGACACGGUCCAGACACCUACGGGUGGCAGCAGUCGAGAAUCAUUCACAAUGGGGGAAACCCUGAUGGUGCAACGCCGCGUGGAGGAUGACGGCCUUCGGGUUGUAAACUCCUGUCAUCUGGGAGUAAGCCUUGUUCGUUAAUAGCGUGCAAGGUUGAUAGUACCAGAAGAGGAAGGGACGGCUAACUUCGUGCCAGCAGCCGCGGUAAUACGAAGGUCCCAAGCGUUGUUCGGAAUCACUGGGCGUAAAGCGUGCGUAGGCGGCGUGGUAAGUCAGAUGUGAAAUCUUGGGGCUCAACCCCGAAACUGCAUCCGAUACUACCAUGCUAGAGUAAUGGAGGGGUAGCUGGAAUUCUCGGUGUAGCAGUGAAAUGCGUAGAUAUCGAGAGGAACACUCGUGGCGAAGGCGAGCUACUGGACAUUUACUGACGCUCAGGCACGAAGGCCAGGGGAGCGAAAGGGAUUAGAUACCCCUGUAGUCCUGGCAGUAAACGGUGCGCGCUUGGUGUGGGAGGAUUCGACCCCUUCCGUGCCGGAGCUAACGCGUUAAGCGCGCCGCCUGGGAAGUACGGCCGCAAGGCUAAAACUCAAAGAAAUUGACGGGGACCCGCACAAGCGGUGGAGUAUGUGGCUUAAUUCGAUGCAACGCGAAGAACCUUACCCAGGCUCGACAUGCUCGUCAUACCCUCCCGAAACGGAGGGGUCGGUUCGGCCGGACGAUGCACAGUGCUGCAUGGCUGUCGUCAGC
rnacentral:rRNA from 1 species